UAACCUUUUAAAAGAAAAUGAUGUUUAAAAUGAAAAGAUCUUCCCUGUCAACUAGUAAUUUUCUCAACAAUUUCCACCUACAACUCUAAGGUCGGAGCUCUAACAAAUAGGAACUUAGGUAUUAUGGGUGUUUGAGUCCCACAUUAUGUAAUAAGGAAUGCUCGGGUGGAUGUAUUUAAGCGCUUGAGUCUUCUUUCUUAGUAGCUAGCGUUUUGAGGGUGGAUUCCUCAAGUGUUUAGGGUACUUACCAAUUGGUUGUUGAUCUUUUUGAAAGGGCUGAUUUCUUCUUCCUCCUUAACCACUAGAGAGGAGGCCUAGACUCUCCCACAACAAUCUGACUUCCCUCUCAAAUCACAAGAUAAAAAUCUCCUUCCUAAUCCCUUUUCCUAUUUACAGGCAACAUGUCUUGUUUCUCCAAUUAUCUCAGCCCCCCACAACAAAACUCUAUUUAUUUCUACUACUAACUAUGGGGGUUACCUAUCCAUUAUUACUAGUCGCUAUCAACUGAGUAGUUUUCGGAAGGUCUGUCUGUACCCAACUUCCAAUGACCACUACAAACCAUCAUCGAGCGAAUGGGCAGAUUAAGGUGGUAAAAAGAUGUUCGGAGGUUAAUUUGCAUUGCUUGAGAGGUACAAAGCCAAGACAGUAGCCAUUGCAUUUAGCUCAGGCUGAAUUUUGGUUCAAUACUAGUUACUAAGAUGUCUCAUUUCCGAUCCUUGUAUGGGCAAGACCAUCCUCCUUUAUUGUUGAAAGCAAACCACAAUUCCUUCCAAAGUUAAGGAAGUCAAUCAGCAGCAAGACACCUUGGAGAUUAACUUCACCUCAAGCACAAGGCCAAAUGAAAGGUAUGCUAACAAGACACCUUGGAGAUUAACCUCACCUUUCCUCCUCAAUUCCAUCCUGGGGACAAUGUGUCACUUAGCGCUGGGGUACUAUUGAUAGAGUAUGGCCCCCCAAUAUCUAAGGUCUAUGAAAAGAGAACUGAGAGAAAGAGUUAGAAGGGCAUCCCAUGUAACUAAAUUAAUGUUUAGAUAGUUUGUUAUGUUCCUAACUAGAAGGCAGUUAGUACGAGCUAGAUUACCAGGGUAUAUAGAAAAUACGAUCGGAAAGUAAGGGCCAGGAUAAUGUGGGCAUCAGCUUGGCAGGGGUCAGGUUCCUAAAAAUGCAUGCGCAUUCUGUUUUCUGUAACUACUAGUGAAUAACAAAUCUCUCGUUUUUCUGUUAUAUCAAUCUAUCUCUUAUUUUGCUACACUCUACUACCAGCUCUAUCAGUAUACAUCCUUAAUUAAUCUGAAGGGUCAUUUGAACCUAAGUUUUUUUAUUCUUGCACAUUACGAAUAUUAUUCACAUUCUCUGAAUUCAAAACAAACUUUCAUUAUGAUAAGAUUUAAAAAAUAUAAAGGAGAUAGCUUAUAAGAAGUGCAGAAUUGUGUUAGCACCAUUGUUCUUUAAAAAGCUGAUUCACCCAGAUACGGUGUGCCACAAGCAAAUAUAGAAAUAAAAAGCUGUUUUGAUGAUAAUGACAAGGCUCAUUGUGUAUCUAAAGGCAACAUAAUAGUACUAUACACUAACCAACCCAUCCAGGAUGCUUCUGCAUAAUAACAGCAAAUGCAGUCAUCUGUUCUAAGAUAAUGAAAUCAAUCAUGGAAGUAUGAUUGGCCACAAAAACCUGUUCAAUAAAGGGAAAUCCAGAUUAUCAAUAAAUAACAUUCAUAUUUUGCUGGAUAUGCGAAUAAAAAAACGGAAGAACCAAUAUACAUCAGACAAACCUGUUUUGGUCGCACACUGGGCCUUGGCCCAUGGUACUUGACAACCCCAGUCCAAGAUGCAACAAAGAAACUGCACAUCAUCUCCACCAAACACCUCUGAAAGAAACGAGAAUUCAGCAAUUUAGAGUUAAUUGAUUUGAUACACAGCACGUUAGUAGUAAAUUUAAGUUGCUAUCCGCCAAAAGGAAUGAAAAUAGAAAGAGUAAGAUAGAAGUUGCAUUCAUGUUAUGCCUUGAUCUCAGCUGCAUACAAUAUCUUAGAGUAAACAGGUAUUUAAAAUUAAAGGAAAAAAGUAAAUUAUGUCCUCCAGAAAAUGGCCAAAAUUUGUUUCAUUGACCUACUAGGUUGACAACUAAUUAGAUUUAAAAAAUCAGCUUCCACGUAAAAAAUCCUUUUUUAACUCAGACAGUAAAAUUAACAAAAAAUAAAAGAUAAAGCAUAUGGAACAAAAACAUGAUUUUCAUGAUCGAUGAGGCAACUUUAAUUGAAGCCAGACAAUAGGUGUUUAAAAUGAAAACCAGACGAAGUGAAGGCUUACUGAAACACUAAAAUAAAAGUGGCCUAUGAGCUGUAGCUCAAUUGACACCAAGUCUCAAACCUCUAUCCUAGUAAUAAUAAAAAUAAUAAUAAAAAAAUAUAAACAAUAUGUAGAACACAAAAUAAUACCAAAUAUUUGGACCUUGACAACUGACAAAUAGGAUUUCAUUCAUAAAGUUGAGGCCCGGCCCCUCUUUUACUUUUUAUGGACAGAGUUCACACUUCAGAGAUGUCUUAAAAUUUCAAUAUGGCGUUGGUUAUAAAAGCCAUUGAAUGCAGUCUUUCCAGUGUGCAAAACAGAGAAACAGAAAUCUGUGUCAAAAAUUUUCUACUGGACAUAAUAGCAAGACUAAUAUGAAUUGAUACCUCAAUCUUUUUCCUCAAAUCAUCGUUUCCUUUUAGGAGGCAGUGCACUGGAAUGAAGAAUGAAAGAAAUAUAAUCCAUCCUAAUGUCAACACUAGAAUUCUGCAGAGUCAAACAGGACACAUCAUAUAGCCAGAAAAAGAUUAUUGAGAACUGAGGCAUUAACAUGAGAAGCAUAAAAGAGAAACUAAUAGGCCAAACACAAACAUCAUGUUUGAAGUCACAAAAUUUGAAAAUUAAUUUGAUUUAUAAUUUUUUUUUUCUGAAAGGAAUUGCUUUGAUUUUGAAAUCUUUGUGAUUUAGUUGUGCACAUGCAAAAGUCUGCUCAUAAUUUCAUGAGACAUGGGAAUCAAUUUUUAAAUCAAAUUGGUUUUAUUUUUUUGUUAUCCCCAAAGGCAGGGAGACAAAAAUUAAAUUUAAUUAAAUCUUAAGUUCGAAUCAUAUCCUAAUAGACUUUUCCUAAAAUGCGUCCAGUCUCGAUGCAUCGUACAAGCAAAUGUAGCAUUGAAAAUUAGCUUGGAAAACCAUAGGAUUGAAUGAUUUCCAAAGUACUAGUGCAUCAUCAUGCGUAACAUGUAAGUAUAUAAAGAAAAGGAAUAGCCUAACCUAAUAGGGAAAAUAAUCAAAUAUCGAAUCACAAGUCCACAGCACCACAAAGGAAACAAAUAAACGUUCCAGUUCCAAGGUUCUGGAGGAUUUGAUUUGAAGCACCUUGUGAAUGAAUCCUAUCCAACAUAAAAUUCAGUGAGUAACCAAAAUGAGAGUGAUAUUUCAAGAAAAAAUGACAUGUGUGAUGGCUUCAGGCUUGGACAUAUAAUCUGAGAAUUACACAGAAAUAUAAAUAUACAAGACAAGAAAUCACAGUUCCUCUCUGCUGGAUUUCACCUGGAAAUGGGAAUUUUGGGAUCAGUAUGAAAUUGCAGAUCAUACUAGCUGGUCUGUAGGAUCUCUGGUCCGGUUUCGUGACCCAGGAUGAAAAACAAAACCUGUCUUAUUCCCUCAUUGGUGGACUCCUCUCUGCCUAAUAGUAACCCUUCUUUGCACUCUCUAACCUAUCCAGCUCCCUCACUUUGCGCUCUGGCCUCUGCCUUGUGUUUAUGCACUUAGAAUUCUGCCUUCAUUGACUAUAUUGUUCUGCAUACUCUGUUGUUGGUAGUGGGCAGUUCUCUUUCAAUUUUAUUUGUGAUUUGUUCUUUCAGUUAUGCUAUCAAAAAAAUCAUGUUAUGAUAUAUUAUGGGCUGGCUAUAUGUUAAGAAUUCUGAACUAUAGUUAAAUAUCGUGAUUUAGAUGUCAUUUUUGUUAUCUAAGUUAUUUUCUAUGCAUAUGUAUCUAUUGACAGUAUAGUUUUAUGUUGUAGCUAGGAACUUAGUAUACAUGUUAUGAUCCUGCAACUUACGAUCAUCCAUCCCCUUCCGGAUUCUUGGUAGGAUCUCAAUUUUGACAACAUUGGGAGACGAUCUAUUGCAUUGCAGCAGGCCAAGAUUUAGUUUUAGAAAAUGUUGAACACAUCAUGUUUGCCGUUAAAUUCUCUCCAUAACUAUUCCAUCAUCAGCAAUUUUCCAAAAGAUAAUAAUUGACAUACCAAAACCAAAAGGCAGAAGAACAGCAUAUGAAGACAAGGUCAAAACCUCACAUCUACAAUGGCACCUGCUGCCUCAGACAGACUAGGUGAAAUAUCGAUCAAAUCACACCUGAAAUGACAACUUAAUUCAGAACAUAAUCAUCAUGCAAACAGAAAACUACUCCAUUUUCAUUGCCCCUUAUCUUGGAGAAUCUAAGCAACAGUUAAAGCAAGACAAGAAAAUGAAAAAAAAACAGCGGAGACACUUACAGGCGGAGCUUCCCUUGCCGUUCAUGUUGAACACUGGAUCCAGAGGGUAGGUAAUCCUCAAUGUUGGGCCGAUCAAGGUCCAAUUCAGAACUCGACGAUUUGAGUUUCGCAGUCCUAUUCAUCUUUGUUACGCUACCACAACAACCAAAAUUGCGUGACUAAAGUAGACCUUUAGAUCCUGAAACACGCAUGGUGAAAAAAUAACUGAUUCAAUAAAAUGUUCAAAGAGUUAGUCAACAAAUUUCACCAUAAUUCUAUAAUUUAAUUCCAUCAAACAGCUUCCAUGCAAUGAAGUAAAAAAGAAGAAAACCUUAAUGUAGGAGAUGGCAUUGGGAGGAAAUCCCGAGAAAGAGAGAAAAAAGUGAUGAGAGAGAAAGAGCUCACGAUCUAGGGAAUAGAAAAGGGAUGGGAGAUUGCAGAAACUAACUCUAACCAGAUGAUGGAACCAAGAGUGUCAUGAGCAUGGCUGACUGUAAUUUCCGGGAUGAAUUAAGGGUAAUUUUGUCCUAACCAAAUACCAUGUCAUUCGAAGUCGUUGGGCGAACAUUCCUACAGCGCGCGUAACUAAUUUUUUAAGUUUUUUUUUUAUAUCUCUUUUCCUAUACAAUUUUGCAAUUUAGUUACUUUUUAUUUCUCUUCCUUUCUCUUCUUUCAAAACUUUCUUUUCCAUAAAAUAUCAAUAUUUUUUUAAGAAAAAUAUAUAUAAUUUAAAUAAAAUAAUUCUUUUAUUUAAUAUUAUUUAAAAAAUAAGAAAAUAAUUAUAAAUUAAAUCAUUAAACCUUACAAAUUAUUUCUAAUUAAUUAUAAUAGAAUAAUUUAACAUAUAAAUACUUUAAUUUAUUUAAUUAAAUAUAUUAAUUGUCAAUUAGAAAUUUAAAAUUAUAUAUAAUUAAAUAUGAUUUAAUAUAUAUAUAUAUAUAUAUAUAUAUAUAUAUAUAUAUAAUUAAAAAAAAUGACAGACCCAAAUCAAACUAUUAAAUUAUAUCACGUGAGUUUUUUUGUUUAUUUUUAAUUAUAACUGUAAAUCACACUAAAAGGAGCCCUAUUGUACCAUCUACUUAUUAUUAGAUAACAUUUAUUUAAGAAUGCAAAAUAAAUAAGUUUUCAUUAUAAUAAUUUAUUCCAUCACAACAUAAAUAUUACUGGAUUCAUAAGAAAAUGUUAAGCAUUACAAUAUUGUUUUUGUUAUAUGAUUUGUUUGAUUGAAAUUAAUUUUUUAAUAUAAAUCUUAAUAAAUUUAUGGACUCAUACAUCUAUUUAUUCAAUCUUAAAUUGUUUGAUUUUAUUAAUUAUUAUAUAAAAUGAAAAUAAAUAAAAAAUACUAAACAAAAUAGUACAAUGAUGAAGUCAUCUAAUUUGCAACUAUUAAUAUUAUGAAAGAAGAAACAUAAGGGUGGAAAAAAAGAAGAGAGAAAGGUAGGAUAAACUGAAGUGAUAUAUAUUAUUGUAGAAUUUGGAAAUUACAUUGUAGUGAAAAGAGAAGAUAAGAAAAGUAGAAAGAUGGUAAAAAGGGAAAAUUAAGGCAUCUCUAAACCAUAAAGAACGCCUGCAUGUUUUGACAAGUCAAACUUUAUAUGAAAAUAGAGAGUUUUAAUUUUAUUAAAAACAUGGAGAGUGACUAAGUUAUCGGAGCCUGCAUGAUGACUUCUUCUGCCACUAUUAUCCAAACCUAGAGAGUCAGAAACUUUGUCUAAACCUUCGUGAAAGUUUGGACAAAAUCUGAUGAAAUGUUUAACGUCGUAUACUCUAUAUCCAAAGAAGAAUUUGACCAGUUGAAGAAAGUCACACAAGUUUGUAGGUAGAAAUGGUUGCAUAUAAAAAAAGCGUUGGCUCAAUAUCUUCACCAUGUACCCAAAAUCAUAGGUACUAUGAAAAGCAAUCCACUGAAUAUUAUUGUUGCAGAGGAGUCCUGAGAACAUCAUCAACUCAGCAAAUCGCAUAAUGCUCACUCCAAACUUUCGAUUCUUGUCAAAAUCUAUGCCUUGACGUCGGAGGAGGGCGAUGGAGUGAGGAGCAUGAGUAUGUUGUGUCACAUCAAACUCACAGAAAUUGAAUUCCCAAAUGAAGCGGUUGGAGGUUCCAAAGGUUGGAAGGUUGCCGUGGCCGUCUGAAAGGGUGAGGCCCACUUGAAUGAGAUGCAUACUGUCCACGUUAGCUUUCAUCACUGCGUAGUUAUUUUGUGGUUGUCGGAAUGCUGGAUGCGACUGAAAGACGACGCCAGGGAACUCUGUAUCCAUUGAGAUGAAAGGGUAUAAGGCAAUGACAAAACGAAUCAAUGACAGAACGAAUCAACUCGAACUCCGAUUCAAGGUUGUAAGACCACACUGAUCUUGUCAUCACAGAAUCGCUAGGGUGAGUCAUGCUGUUGUUGCUUUCUAUUUUCAUCUCUCUUUCUCUUCCGAUAUCUCUUUCCCUUCCAAUCUCUCUUUCUCUUUCCUUAAAGAACAACAAAACAACUACAUCAAUCCUUCUCACUACACUACUUUUAUAGUCCAAUCAGACAUAACUUAUAAAAGAUAAUAAGAUAUAAAUGAUUUCUUUAAUCUAAUCUUAUAAUCACACUUAUUAUUUAUUUAUGAUAUGAUUCAAGAUAUUAAUUAAAUAUAUCAAGAUUGAGAUUGCAUUUUCCUUUAUUGAAGUUUCUUAGAUUUUAAAAAAAUAUAAGAUUACGCUCUGAAAUCUUAUCUUCAUUAAAUUUUAUCUUUUUAAUACAUAUUUUAAGAGUUAAUCAUUUUAGAAUCACAUAUCAUUUAUCUUUUCUAUCUCAACGCACAAUUAGAUCUAAUUAUCUUAUUUAUUUUUGAGCGAGAUAUAUUUAAAAUGUAAAUAUUUAUUUUCUGAGGAGAUGAUUAUAUAUGUAUAUCAUAAGUAACUUAUCUAUAUUUUAGGAGAUUGAUAUAUUUAAAUUGCAUAUCAUUAUUUUAUCUAUUUUACGUACAUUUUUUUAGCUGAUUUCUAAAACUAUUCAAAAAAAAAUAAUCUAUUAAAAAAAAUAAUAAUCAAUUAUCUCAAUUUUGAUAAUGUAUAUUUAAUUAAUAUAUGAUAUAAUAAUAAAUUUAAUUUUUCCGAUUGUGUUUCUAAAUUUAAUAAAUAACAAUAUAAUUAAUUACAAAAUUGUAGUUAUUUUUUUCAAUUUUUUUUAAUAAACUGUUUACAGUAUGAUCUUAUAUUUUUGAUAUUACUCUUCUAUCACCUAUAACAACUAGGCGAUUUUAUUUUUAUAUAUUUAUGAUAUAAAAGUUCAUUAAAAACGUGAUUAACUUUUUUAAUAAAACCAUUCAUCAAUUAUAAUUGUAUUAAACUUGUAAUUUAAAUAUAAAGUUUAACGAUAAAACUAAAAUGUAAAGGCAUAAAAUUUACCUUUCAAUCAUGAACUAUAUUCCACAAACAACAUAAAGUGUACAUUAAAAAAAAACACAUUUUUUUAAGUUAAAACUAAAAAUGACAGACAUUUACAGCCUAAAUUUCAAUUUAUUUAAAACUAUUUAUCUUGUCUAAUACAAACUAUAUAUAGUUAUAAAAUGAAAAUACUGUACAAAUUAAUUUAAUCAACAUAAAUUGGUCAGACGAUAUUUAUUAUAAAAAAAUACAUUGAUUAUUAUGUAUAAUUUAUACGUUUUACUUUUAUCUGAUAAUUAAGUGGUAAAAUGAGCAAUUAAAUAUUUUUAUUUGAAAAUAUUCUUUUGUUUUAUCUUUAUAUCUAUAGAUUUAUUCUUUUAUCACAAAUAUCUUUAUAUCAUUCUCAGUUUUUCAGUUAAUAACUUACUUUAAUUAUUUUCAUAUAUUACUUUUUGUUUUAUAAUUUUGAAUGAUGGGAAUAUAAUUUAUUUCUACUACAUCACAAUUUUAUUUUAUUUCAAGAAUUAUUGAUUAGAAUAUAUUAAAAUUAUAUAUAGUAACAAUUUGUCUAUUAUUUUUGUAACACCCUAGAAAAUAUAUUUAACCAUUACAAUACAAGUCCUAUUGAUUUCUAUACAGACUUGAAGUUUUUCAAUACAUUCCUAAUACAUAUACAAAGGUUUGGUGUCGGUUGCUCCCAUUGAUCCCUCUAAAAUUUUAUUCAGUUCUCUUUUUGUAAGACAUUUGUAUCUGUCAAACUCAGUUUUGGGAAUCGUGUGGAUUGCUGUGGUAAGGGAGAUCUGGAAUCAUAGGAAUAAGAUCAUUUUCAACGGUGGAGUGGUGGAUCACUCUGAAAUCUUUUCUAUGGCCCAAUUGAAUGUUUGGUCUUGGGUUACAUCUAAAGUUCCUGCUGCUCAUUGAUAAAAAAAAAUAAAAAAAAGUUCCAUACCAUUUUCAUCUUCAAUAUAAUUCAAAAUGCAAUCCAUAACAUUCAAAAUCCUAUUUAACAUUAAAAAAACAACACUUAAACACUAAGGGCUUGUUUGGUUCCAGGGGUGGUCCUGUUGGCGAUGACGGAAGUCACAACAUCACCCCAUUUGGAUCCAUGAAUUGUUGCGGGUGAGGAUGGAAGGAAAGAGAAAUGAGAGUGAAUUUGGGUUCUCUCCAAAGAUGAAGAGAAAGUUGAGCUGAAGAGAGGGAGUGCCACGUCAUUCAUAGUAAGUUACUUUGGUGUCCUUGCUUUUGUGCUGAACAGUGCCCCUGCAUGCAUGCCACAUGAAAGCUUCAGAUUCCUGACUUGGCUCAGGAAUCGUUUGACCGUGUGUGAAACUGUGAAAGGUGAGUGAAUGCAGUGGGUGAGGUAGGUGGGUGUGGAAUGAAGCUGACUAUAUAACACGAAGCAUGAAGGUGGUUCCUCCAUUCACAGAAAAGCAAAGAAAGCGAGCCUUUAGAGAGUGUAGUGUAGUGUGGUUGGAGAGAUUCGUAAGCCAUCAUAGUUUGUGUUAGGGGCUUGAGUUACGUAUAGCUUGUUCAUCUCACGUCCUGGGUUCAUCUCUGUGGUUCAUCUGGGUUCAUCUGUGGGUUCGUCUGAGGUGAGAGCAUGUCUUUGAAUGGUGCAUAAUCGAUUAUGGCUGAAUUAGAACUGGUCACAUAAUCGAUUAUGGUGAAGAUAAUCGAUUAAGCAAAGUUAGUAAUCGAUUAUCUGUAAAAAAUUUCAACCCAUAAUCGAUUAUCUGAAGUGUGGAAAAAGGGUCAUAAUCGAUUAUUUAUUGUCAUAAUCGAUUAUGCUUGAUUUUUGCCUACUAACAUAAUCGAUUAUCCAUGGAUAAUCGAUUAUCCUAUGUAUAUAACUGAAGGGAUAAUCGAUUAUGUUCUAAAUUUUUUGAAAUUCUGUGUUUCUUAUUUUGUUUUAUGUGGUUUUCAGGCACUGGUGUUCGUCAUCCUAUCAAUCAUCUUAUUGUGCUGUUCUUGCUUAUCUUCAGGUUUUUAAAUUUUUUUUAUGUAAAGUUAUGUUUUAGUUAAUUAUGUUAAAGAGUUAGUAAAUUAAUGUUGGUUGUAAUAUAAUUUGUUUAGACUUUAGUUUAGUUAAUUAUGUUAAGGAGUUAGUAAAUUAAUUCUUUUAUUUGAUUUAUUGUUUUAAUUUUUGUAGAUAGUUAUAAUUUUUCUAAGAUUUAAAAAAAUAUUUAUUUGUAUGAAAUGAAUGAUUUAGAGAAUGGAAACAAAAAUUUGUAAAGUUUAGGUUUUUGAUUAUAGUAAACAUAAAUUAUUAAUGUUAUAAUUAAAUCAAAUAAAAAAUUAUUGUAGUGAUUAAAGAAAACUGAAAAAGUUUAGUUAAAUAUUGUUUAUAAGAGAAUAGAUUUAUUUAUUUAAAAUGAUUGGACAAAAAUUAUUAAUAUUAUCAUUAAAAAUAUUAAAAAAAAUGUUUUAGUUAUUUUUGUUAUAAGAUUUAAUUGUUUAUAAGAAAAAAAUUAAUGUUUUUAAAAUGAAUAUUUUUACAAUUGGAAAUAGAAAUUUGUAAUUUGUGGGUUUUUUAAAAAGUAAUUGAUAUUUUAGAAGUUGUAUUUUUAAUUGAUAUUUUAAUAAUAAAUGUACAAAGUAAUUAUUUACUUAAAAAUAAAUUGUUUAUAAAAAAGAUUUACAAAAUUUAAUUUAGACAUAAUGGAAUUCAAAAUUUUAAAAAUAUUUUUAUAGGGUUUUAUUUUUGUAGAUUUAACAUAAUUUAUUAAUGUUAUAAUUAAAAACAUUAUAAAAAUGUUGUAGUAAUUAAAAAAAACUGUCAAAGUUUUGAGUAGAAAUAUGAUUUUGACUUAAUUUUUUUUAAUUUGUAUUUCACAUUAAUUAUUGGUGUUAGAAUUAAAUGUUAUAGUAAUUUAAAAAGUCAGAAAAAUUUUACAUAAGAAAAAUUUUAUUUGUAAAUAAUAUUUUUACAAAAUACAAAUAAAAUUUGUUAAUGUUUAGUUAAUAUUUUUUGAGAUUCUACAUAAAUUAUUUGGUUUGUUUAUAUUUAUUUGUUGUUUGAUUAAAUUAUGUUAUUGAAUGAUAUAAUACUUUUUAUGAAUUUUUUUAUUAAAAUUAAUUAAAAGUACGUUUUAGGGUAACUGUAUUGGUGUACUUUUACACCGAUACGGUAACCGCAUUCGGUAUGAAUUCGGAAAGAAAUUAUGACGAGGCAGAGAUGAUACACUUUGAGGAAACAGUUGCAAUUUAUGACGAUCUUGUUGCGACGAACAUGAAUUUAAUUUCACAAAUCGAAGAACAAAUAAAAAAAAUAAUGAAGGUGCAUCAGUCAUGAUUCUUUGUAUGAUUGCUUUUGGAUUGAAAUUGUUACGCACGGUGCCUACUACAAGCAACUGUAUCAGUGAGUCUGAACCACAAAAAGAGCGUCGCAGACAAAAAUUGAUGGAGUACUUGGUUCACACUGAACAAUCUCGUCACAUUAUUCGCAUGGGACCGAAAGCUUUCAUUAAAUUAUGUGAACGAAUACGGGGAACUAGACUUGUUAAAGAUGCAUAUCGAUCAACCGUGGAAGAACAAGUAGCGAAAUUUCUACACAUUAUUGGGCAUAAUGUGAAGAAUCGAAGUGUGUCAUUCUUUUUCCAUCGGUCUGGAGAAACAGUUUUCCGUCACUUUCAUAAUGUUUUGAGUGCAANNNNNNNNNNNNNNNNNNNNNNNNNNNNNNNNNNNNNNNNNNNNNNNNNNNNNNNNNNNNNNNNNNNNNNNNNNNNNNNNNNNNNNNNNNNNNNNNNNNNNNNNNNNNNNNNNNNNNNNNNNNNNNNNNNNNNNNNNNNNNNNNNNNNNNNNNNNNNNNNNNNNNNNNNNNNNNNNNNNNNNNNNNNNNNNNNNNNNNNNNNNNNNNNNNNNNNNNNNNNNNNNNNNNNNNNNNNNNNNNNNNNNNNNNNNNNNNNNNNNNNNNNNNNNNNNNNNNNNNNNNNNNNNNNNNNNNNNNNNNNNNNNNNNNNNNNNNNNNNNNNNNNNNNNNNNNNNNNNNNNNNNNNNNNNNNNNNNNNNNNNNNNNNNNNNNNNNNNNNNNNNNNNNNNNNNNNNNNNNNNNNNNNNNNNNNNNNNNNNNNNNNNNNNNNNNNNNNNNNNNNNNNNNNNNNNNNNNNNNNNNNNNNNNNNNNNNNNNNNNNNNNNNNNNNNNNNNNNNNNNNNNNNNNNNNNNNNNNNNNNNNNNNNNNNNNNNNNNNNNNNNNNNNNNNNNNNNNNNNNNNNNNNNNNNNNNNNNAAUAUUCGCGAAGAGGGCCACAAAAUGCAAAAGAGUUGUUUAAUCGUCGACAUUCAUCACUUAGGAACGUAAUUGAGAGAACCUUUGGGGUGCUUAAAAAACGUUUUCCAAUUAUAGCCAGUGGGACUGAGCCACAUUAUGAUGUGGAUACUAUGACAAAAAUUGUUUUAGUUUGUUGUAUUCUGCAUAACUUUCUAUGCGGGAUUGACAAUGAUGAGUCUCUGCUUGAAGAAGUAGAUAAUGAAUUGUUAUAACAAGAUAUCCAACCAAGCACCACCCAUGCUCGUGAACAUGAUUACAGGAUAGGAUGUGAUAUUAGGGACGUUAUAGCAAACGAAAUGUGACAAGAUUAUGUAAACAAUUAAUUUCAUGAAAUAAUAUAUUUUCUACCAUUUUUCAAUGUUUGUCAUCCUAACUUUAUUUAAGUUAAUUAAAUGGAUCGCGGAAAAAAUGUGGCUUCAAAUUUAUCAGGUUCUUAUCGAGAGUUCACCAAGUGGACGACGAAGAUGAACCUAAUUUUGCUGAAUGCAAUGAUUGACGAGGUACGAAAAGGGUGUAGAAUUGUUGGUAGCUGGACCACUCUAGGAUACACUAACAUAGUUAUGGCUUUAAAUGAGGCUGGUUUAUCGGGUAUUAAGAAAAAUAAUGUGAAGAAUCGGCAAAAAAGCCUGAAAGACAUGUGGAGGGAAAUCCAUGAUUUGUUUGGUGGAUUGAGUGGUUUCGCAUGGAACCAAACCACCAAACUUUUUGAAGCCGAGGACGAAGUUUGGAGUGAGCUGAUUAAGGUACAAUGAUAAGUACUUUUUUACGUAACAAUUACAUUUAACUUCACAUUUCGCAUCAUAUACUAAUAUGUGAAAUGUAUGUAGGCCAAACCAUCUGCAGCAAAAUGGCGUUUCACGCCAUUAUGACCUUAUGGAGGAGUUGUGGUCCAAUGAUAGAGCCACGGGAAGUCGGGUCAGGACAGCCCGUGACAUCAAUUCACCUCCUGACAUGACCAAUUUCAGUGUCAACCUUGGGGAGAAUAAUAUGGAUUAUAUCCCCGAACAACCGAACUUUGAGGAGGCAGAUGACUACGUCCCACGAUCACCUGCUCCUCAAUUCCAAUCUAGUGACACUCCUUCAGACACACCAUCAAACACUCUUUCUAUGCCAUCUGCUGGCUCUGCGGGCACAUCCUCAUCCCGAGGAUCAAAGAGAAAAGGCCCCACUAUGGACGACAUUGAUGAACAAUUUGCAAUGUUGAAUACUAAUCUUCAACAAUGCGUGUCAUCAAUGAAGGAUGGAAAUGAAAAUGCCUCUCAUUUGGUGAAUAUUGCUCGUGCACAGGCAACAACAGCUCAAGAUAUAGCUGCCGAAAUUAGAUGAAGAAACGACCUAUAUGCUGAGCAUGUACACCACCAUCGACGCCAUGCCUCAUACCAGUACUCAGAGUCUGAUAUUUGGGCAAUGCUCGUGGAGCUAAGCAUUCAAGAUGAACAACUCAUGGAUCAAUGCUAUGAGUUUUUAUGUGACCAUCCCGGAAGAGUUAAGCAACUAUUUGGGAUGCCAUAUAAGCGUCGAAUGACAAAAUUGUUUGGAUUUAUGACUAGGCAUUGNNNNNNNNNNNNNNNNNNNNNNNNNNNNNNNNNNNNNNNNNNNNNNNNNNNNNNNNNNNNNNNNNNNNNNNNNNNNNNNNNNNNNNNNNNNNNNNNNNNNNNNNNNNNNNNNNNNNNNNNNNNNNNNNNNNNNNNNNNNNNNNNNNNNNNNNNNNNNNNNNNNNNNNNNNNNNNNNNNNNNNNNNNNNNNNNNNNNNNNNNNNNNNNNNNNNNNNNNNNNNNNNNNNNNNNNNNNNNNNNNNNNNNNNNNNNNNNNNNNNNNNNNNNNNNNNNNNNNNNNNNNNNNNNNNNNNNNNNNNNNNNNNNNNNNNNNNNNNNNNNNNNNNNNNNNNNNNNNAAAUCUCCAGCAGAAGAUGUUGACGUUCCUCCUCCACCAACGAGGAUUCCAGAAGUUCUUGAUUAUUCAAGAUACUUCAGUACCAGGCGUCAAAUGGUGGUUUUUGAAAAGAACUUUCACGCAAGAGCAGUAUUACCACCAAAAGUGAUGCAUACUCCAUUUUUUGCUGGUCCAGGAUUUGAAUACCAAAAUCUUCUGAAUUGGCAAGGUUUACAACCUUUCCUUGGAAUUAAUCUUCCGUAUUAUGAGGAUUUGGUAAGAUUAUUUUAUACAAAUGCAAAAUUCACACCUGUUGGUCACCUUGCCAUUGAGAUUUGCGGAAAAAUNNNNNNNNNNNNNNNNNNNNNNNNNNNNNNNNNNNNNNNNNNNNNNNNNNNNNNNNNNNNNNNNNNNNNNNNNNNNNNNNNNNNNNNNNNNNNNNNNNNNNNNNNNNNNNNNNNNNNNNNNNNNNNNNNNNNNNNNNNNNNNNNNNNNNNNNNNNNNNNUGUCGGUAGUCUGAAAAUGAACGACGGACUAUUGCAUUACACAUGGGUGCAUAUCUUGUGCCCUCGAGGAAGCAACUAUGCACAACUACUGAAUGAAGAUAUUUUCAUGAUGUGGUUAAUCAAGAAUAAUGUACGCACUAAUUGGCCUCAUUACAUCAUGCAACACAUCAUCAAAUGUCAGGAUAACAAGAUGCCUCUCCCAUAUGCAAAUUUGAUAACGAGGAUCUUGCAGGUGUAUGGCUUCGACUUGUCGAAUGAACAAGCAAUAAUGCUAGGCUGGAAUCAUUACUUUGGCAAAAAAGUAUGACAAAAUUAAAUAUAUUCCAGGUCAAUGGCAUAUGGCAACUUGGUAGACCUCACCAUGCACACGAAGAAGAUGAUGAAGAAGAUGAUGAAGAGGAUGAAUUGUCAGCACAAGAUGUUGAAGGUGGUUAACCUAAGGAGGCAAACCCCACUCAAAGGGAAUUAUUAACUCAAAUUUUGUUCGGCAUACAAAACAUGAAUACCCGAAUUGACAGGGUUGAUCAAAGGAUGGACAGAAUUGAGGAUACUCUGAGUGACAUUCGACGUCAUCAAGGCCAUUGAGUGUUUUAUCAUUAUGUUAUUAUCAUUGUUAUUUUUAUUUCUAAUUUUCAUGUUGAACAUUAAUGAAUUGUUAUUGUUAUUUUUGACGUUGACAUUGUUAUUGCUAUUGUUAAGGUUUUAUGCUACUUUUCAUGCUACUUAUUUACAUAAUCAUAUUGUUUUUAAUGCAACUUUUUUACCAUCUUAUUACUUCAACACCAUUGCUUAAGUGUCAUUCAAUGUCUGCGUAUCAUAACACGUUGUCAUCUAGUUGUACUGGUUGUAGUGUGCAAAAACGUUGUGCUUUUACCCAUGCUACUGAGAGCACAAGUGCCUUCGUUGCUCCUAUUUGUGAUUGUGGACAAUUUGCUGUUUUGAGAAUAGCGACAACACAAAAAAAUGCUGGAAAUUUUUUUUGGGGCUGUCCCAACUACAAGGUAAAAUUUAUUCAAUUAGGUUUGAAACAAACUUAAGAAUGUUAUGUUAAACUUAUUCAUUAUUCAAUUUUAUUGUUUUCUUCAAAACAGAUUAGAAGUGGCAUGGUUCUAGGCUGUAAUUUUUUCAAAUGGUGCAUUGAAGACGUUGCCGAUGAAAAAGAUGAAAUUAUUAUCAUACAACGGAAUAAGAUAUGUCUUCUAGAAAACCGUUUGAAGGUCUCCACAAGAAGGAUUCAAAUGUUAUUACUGGGAAUGUCUUUUCUUUUUCUAAUUAACAUUAUUAUGUUCUUCAUGUAAUGACUUUAUAUUAUAUAUUUUGACACCUACUUAAUAUUCAUGUUAUAUUUUAAAUUUAUAUUUUCUUUUUAAAAUUUAUUAAUUUUGCUAUUCAUAAUAAUGAAAAAUAUUAUUAAAAUUAAUUUUAUAUAUAUUUGUAUAUAUAUAACAUAACAUAAUUUAAAAAAUCAUUUAUAACAUUAAAAUGAUGUACAUAAAUUAACUUAAAUAAAAAAUAAUUCUUAAUUAAUAAAAUGUUAAAUAAUAUAAUUAUACUUUAAUUUUAAAUUAUAAUUAACUAAAAUAUGAAAUAGGAUUAAUUAUUAUUUAUUCUUUUUUUAUAUACAAGGGUAAAAUUGUAAUCUCACAAACUUUACUAUUCAAAAUAAUUUAUAAUAUUCUUACAACUAUCACAUCACUCACAAUUUUCAAUAAACUUUCCUCACACAUCCACUCUAACAUACCCCAAUCCAAACAACCUCAACUUUCUUCACACUUCCACUCCCACUCACCCUCAACUUUCCACUCCCCCACACCCUCUAAUCCAAACACACCCGAAACCAUCAAAAUCUAAUAUUUUUACCAGUUUAAACAGUAUAUAUAUAAACAAACAACAUCUAUGCAUCCAAAUCUUCUAACCUAGGAUACUAUUAAAAAUUAAAGUUAGCUUCUCUUACCUUAAAUUUCUUAUUCUGAUGAAAAUUCUACCCAAACUUUAGGGACCUAUAGCAAUUUAUUCAAAUACUACUAAAUUUUAGUAUGAGCUUAAUCAAGUUGAGAGAAACAUUUUUCUCAACGGACCCCACUAAAAUUGAAGACUAAAUCGUAGAGAAAGAUAGAGAAUAAGAGAUAUUUAGAGUAAAAAUGAACUUACUUUAUUUGAAAAUCUGAUCAAGAGUAGAAAUGCAUCGUGACUCCUCAACUAUAACAUGACAUGAUCAGAUUUUGAAAUAAAUGAGGUAUGGAAAAAAAAAUGAAGAGAGAAAGAAGAGAAAAAAAAGUUGAAAGAGAGAUGGAGAAAAUAAAAAAAAAAAUUGAGAGAGAAAAAAGAUGGUGGGGUGGCUGUAUUUUUUUUUUUACGUCCGUUACAAUUUUUGCACUCCAUAAGUCAAAACUAAUAUACAAUAAGUUUUUUUAUGAUACACUAAAUACGUUUUGCUAUUAAUCAAAUCGAAUAAUAAGAAAACAUUAAAUUAAGUUUUAAAUUGCGAUCCUAUUAACUUAUGUUAAUACAACUCUAAGGCAAAACAGAAAAUUAAUUGUAACAAAAUAAUUAAAAGAAAAUAAAAUUAUUUUUAUUUUUAAUAUAAUAAAUAUCUUGUUAAUAUUGGUUUAAUUGAUAGUAUGAGAGUUUGUGUAAUGUUUAACACUAACAAAAUUGACUUACAGAUCUAAUACACAAUUUUUUUUUAAAAAUAAAAAUUUAAAAAAUAUAAAAUAAUAACGUGGAUUAAACGGACACUAAAUAAAAUAAAAAAAGUUAACCUGAAUCAAGAGAAUUUUAAAUUAUAUGAACUAUAAUAAAGUGAAAUGACAAAAAUACUCUAAAUUAAAAUAGGGGUGAGGAUAAAAAUAUUUUUGGAACCUUUUUUCCGACCACAUUUCUGAAUUUGGAUUUUUAGAACACUUUUCUCAAUUUCAUAAAUUCUUUUUCGGAAUGCAUUUUUAGAUUUUGUAUUCAUCUAAAUAUUUUUCCUUUUUCAGGAUGAUAUGAUUAUAAGUAAAUCAUAACUAAUUAUCUAUUUUAGCAUAUCUAUAUAUAUAUAUAUAUAAAUUUAAAAUAAUUAUUUUAUUUAUUUUAUCUUACAUUUUUUUGUCAAUUUUAAAAUCUAAAACCAAUCUUUAUCCAAUAAAAGAACACUUUUAUAUUAAAAUAUUACUGAAUAAUAUUAAAUUAUACUAGGUGAGUUGUUUGUUUUAUUUUUAAUUAUAACUUUAAAUCACACUAAAACGAGUCCUAUUCUCCCGUCUACUUAUUAUUAGAUACCAUUUAUUUAGAAAUGCAAAAUAAAUAAGUUUUCAUUAUAUUAAUUUAUUCCAUCACAAUAUAAAUAUUACUGAAGAAAAUGUUAAGCAUUACAAUAUUGUUUUUGUUAUAUUAUUUGUUUGAUUGAAAUUAAUUUUUUAAUAUAAAUCCUAAUAAAUUUAUGGAAUCAUACAUCUAUUUAUUCAAUCUUAAAUUGUUUGAUUUUGUUAAUUAUUAUAUAAAAUCAAAAUAAAAUAAAAAAUACUAAACAAAAGAAUAGUACAAUGACGAAGUCAUCUAAUUUGCAACUAUUAGUAUUAUGAAAAAAGAAACAUGAGGGUGGAAAAAAAGAAGAGAGAAAGGUAGGAUAAACUGAAGUGAUAUAUAUUAUAGUAGAAUUUAGAAAUUACAUUGUACUGAAAAGAGAAGAUAAGAGAAGUAGAAAGAUGGUAAAAAGAGAAAAUUAAGGCAUCUCUAAACCAUAGAGAACGUCUGCAUGUUUUGAUAAGUCAAACUUUGUAUGAAAAUAGAGAGUUUUAAUUUUAUUAAAAACAUGGAGAGUGACUAAGCUAUCAGAGCCUGCAUGAUGACUUCUUCUGCCACUAUUAUCCAAACCUAGAAAGUCAGAAACUUUGUCUAAACCGCCGUGAAGGUUUGGACAAAAUCUGAUGAGGUGUUUAACGUCGUAUACUCUGUAUCCAAAGAAGUAUUUAACCAGUUGAAGAAAGUCACACAAGUUUGUAGGUAGAAAUGAUUGCAUAUAAAAAAAGCGUUGGCUCAAUAUCUUCACCAUGUACCCAAAAUCAUAGGUACUAUGAAAAGCAAUCCACUGAAUAUUAUUGUUGCAAAGGAGUCCUGAGAACAUCAUCAACUCAGCAAAUCGCACAAUGCUCACUCCAAACUUUCGAUUCCUGUCAAAAUCCAUGCCUUGACGUCGGAGGAGGGCGAUGGAGUGAGGAGCAUGAGGAUGUUGUGUCACAUCAAACUCGCAGAAAUUGAAUUCCCAAAUGAAGCGGUUGGAGGUUCCAAAGGUUGGAAGGUUGCCGUGGCCGUCUGAAAGGGUGAGACCCACUUGAAUGAGGUGCAUACUGUCCACGUUAGCUUUCAUCACUGCGUAGUUAUUUUGUGGUUGUCGGAAUACUGGAUGCGACUGGAAGACAACACCGGGGAACUCUGUGUCCAUAGAGAUGAAAUGGUAUAAGGAAAUGAUAGAACGAAUCAACUCAAACUCCGAUUCAAGAUUGUAAGACCACACUGAUCUUGUCAUCACAGAACCAGGAGGAAGAGUCAUGUUGUUGUUGCUUUCUCUUUCCAUCUCUUUUUCUCUUCCAAUCUCUCUUCCGAUACAUCAGUCAUUCUCACUACACUACUUUUAUAGCCCAAUCACACCUAGCUUACAAAAGAUAAUAAGAUAUAAUUAGUUUAUUCAAUCUAAUCUUAUAAUCACAUUAUUUAUUUAUCUCAAGAUAUUAAUUAAAUAUAUCAAGAUUUGAGAUUGAAUAUUUCAAUGUUUUAGAGUUUCUUAGAUUUAAAAAGAAAAAUAUAUAAGAUUACACUCUCAAAUCUUAUCUUAUUUAUUUUUGAGCCGGAUAUAUUUAAAAUGUAAAUAUUUAUUUUCUCUUUUUGAGGAUAUGAUUAUAUACAUAAAUCAUAAGUAACUUAUCUAUUUCAGGAGAUUGAUAUAUUAAAAUAGCAUAUCAUUAUUUUAUCUGUUUUACGUUCCUUUUGUAGUUGAUUUCUAAAACUAUUAAAAAAGAAUCUAUUAAGAAAAAUAAUAAUCAAUUAUCUCUUUGAUAAUGUAUAUUUAAUUAAUUAUAUGAUAUAAUAAUAAAUUUAUUUUUUCCGAUUGUGUUUCUAAAUAUAAUAAAUAAAAAUAUAAUUAAUUACAAAAUUGUAAUUAUUAUUUUUUCAAUUUUUUUAAUAAACACUAAAAAAAAUCAUGAAAUAAAAAUCAAUUUUAAAAAUAAAAAAUAAUUAAUUUACAUGCUAUUUUAGAAACUAAAAAAAAAUUGAUUUUUAAAUUAAUUUAUAUUAUUUUUAAAUAAUUUUUAAAUUGAUAUCUAAUUAACUAUCAAAUAUUUUGUUAUCAAAUUUAAAAUUUAGAUAAUUAGUAAUUAAAUAAGUAACUAGUUCAUCAACCUUCUUUCUUUUAACUUUACAUCCUUUUGUUUUCCUUCUUUCGAAAACAACAUUUAAAAAAACACAUUUUUUAAGUUAAAACUAAAAAUUACUGACAAUUACAGCCUAAAUUUCAAUUUCUUUAAAACUAUUUAUUUUGUCCAAUACAAACUACAUUUAUAAAAUGAAAAUACUGUACAAAAUUAAUUUAAUCUACAUAAAUUGUUUAUCCGAUAUUUAUUUUAUGUUUAUUGAAUAAUGUAUAGUUUAUACGUUUUACUUUUAUCUGAUAAUUAAGUGGUAAAAUGAGCAGUUAAAUAUUUAUAUUUUAAAAUAUUAUUUUGUUUUAUCUUUAUAUCUAUAGAUUUAUUGUUUUAUGACAAAUAUCUUUAUAUCAUUUUCACUUUUUCAGUUAAUAACUUGCUUUAAUUAUUUUCAUAUAUUAAACUUUGAACUUUGAAUAAUACGCGGCGUGAAGACCCUUCGCCUCUUUGAAGGAAUAUUAAUGUGUUAUAUUAACAAUUGAAGAUCAGUUUAUGGCUACAUUAUUCAAUUAUUGUGUUCAAUUGUAACUGUAAAAAAAAAUAAAAAUUCAAAAGCAUUAUCAUUGUGAAUUUCGAGAAUAAGUAGGAGUAAUAGGUGAUGUUUUAGAAAUGAUAGUAAGAAAGGACAAAAUUAAAAAUAGACAAUUGAGUAAAUUUCAUUAUAGAAUAAAGAGUAUAAAGGAGAAUUUUAUAAGUAAUUCAUUUAUACCAAUACGUCUCAUAAAGUGAUAUUCUUAUUUGUUGAGGGUGAUCAUUAAAUGGGGUAGAAGUGGAGGUGAAUCAUUAUUAUCAUUGAUAUCGUCAUCAUCGUUAUGUUUUUCAUUAUGAGGUUAACAAGAUUACGGAGUCCAUAAGAUUUGCAUAACAUUGACAUUAAUAUGGAAAAAUUGUAUACUUACAAAGAUUGCAAUUGAAAUAGCUAUGAUGUUAGUAGCAUGUUGUUUUGGCUCUAAAUCAUGUAAUGUCUAGGUGGGUGAUAAGUCUGAUGGUGCACAAGACCAUCUCGUAUAAGCAAAAAUUGUAUUACUAACUUGCUCACGUAAGUUUUCAAGUCCAAGACUGAGAGGAUCCUACAACCUCCUAUGUUGUUUUAGUUAAAGUUAAUAUUGUAAUCCAAUUUUGUUAUUAGUUUUCUAUUUUUUUAUUCGUAUAUUUAUACUUCAUUUUAUUUUAUUCAACUGCAACAUAAAUUCACUCAUAAGCUAUAAUGUAAACCUAAUCAUUCAACAAAACAAUAAUUUUAAACACAUUUUUACUAUCUUAAAUUUUUUAUUAAAAUUAUCAUUCCUCGUCCUUUAAUACAAUUAUACAAUUGUGAAAGUUAUAUUUUUCACAUCAAAAUUUUAUAUACUAUUUAAAAUAAAUUAUAUUUUACAUAUUAAUAUUAUUAUUUACAUAAACUAUAAGGUAAUACUUUUUAAAACCCAUCUACAAACAUAAAAUUGUUAUUUAUAAAAUAACAAUUAAAUACACAAUUUUAAUUAAUUUCAAAUAUAAUUAAAUAAUUAAUAAAUAUAUUAAUAUUUAUUAUUUUAAAAACGUGAAAUAAUUUAGUUACCCUAAAGCCGUGUUAAAGUAACAUGAUUUUAGUUAAAAGAAAAAUUAAUUAAAGUUGUGCCACCAUGACACAACUUUAUCUUGACUUCUCAUAUGCCACUACGAGAAAAUAUUAAAUUAGUUUUCAAAUAUUAGUGUUAGUUAAAUUUAAACACUAUUAACAUUAAUUAAUGUGAUGUAAAAAUUAAUUUUUUAAAAAGAAAUUAAAAAUUAUAAGAUUAUUUAUAUUUUUUAAUUAAAUAAAUAUUUCUAUUAGCAUCGGUUUAGUCGGUUUUAAUAAAAUCUGCUUAAUGUAUUUAUUUAUUUUUUCUAAAUAUAGAGUCCCACAAUCUAUGCCUGAUUUGUAUUUAUACUUAUUUAAAUCAGUUAUGCUAUGAAUCUAUGCACCUUCAUGACAACGAAUAGAAAUUAUGGAUUAUUUUUAAUUUAAAGAUGAUAAAUUUUCUUAUCCACAAUUUUUUUGUUUAUAUUUUAUUUAUUUAAGGAUGAGGCAUUUUACGAAAAACUUUAUUUUUAAAUUGCUUUCAUUAGCGCCGAUCAAAUCGAUACAUUUUAAUUAAUAUUAAAAAUAGAUCUUAUUUAACAUUGACUUAUUCGACGCUAAAUUAAAUAAAUUAUAAAAUAAGAUCGAUGCAAAAUUAAAUAAAUUCUUAAAUAAAAAAUAUUAGUGUCGGUCAAGCUCGCGCUAAAUUAUUUUAGUUAAAAAAUUAGUAUAAAAAACGUGUUGGCUAAGUCUAAGUCAACGCUAAUGAAAUAAUGUCACUGGUUUAAGGGUUUAGGUGUGAUCCGAAUCCAGCGCUAUUGACUAAUUAAUGUCGAAUUUUUCUUGUUAAUGUCAGUUAAGUCGAUGCUAAACAACUAUUUUCUUAUAGUGUGCACUAACUACAAUUGGACCAUAAAUGAUGGAACAUAUGAUUACUGUAAUAUGUUAUAACACUUAUAACACACAUGACAUGUUGCAGGUGACAUAUUGUUCCCUAAUAGAGGUCAGGUAUGUCAAGUUAUUGUCAAAUCAUGACAUUUAAAUUGUUAUACUCUUAAGUAAAAAGAAUUAUGUCCUGACUAUCAGUUAUAAUUUUUAGCAUAAUGAUAAACACUCAAUCCAACAAUUGGUUGAAACUUAUGUAACUUCUAUUUGUGAAAUAUGGAGAAUUCGGUCAAACAUAUCCUUAUAAUUAAUUGGUUGAAAUGAACAUUGUAAUCUCCUUUUAUUUAGUAUUUUUUUAUUUUCAUUUUAAAUAAUAAUUAACAAAAUCAAACAAUUCAACAUUGGUAAAAUAGAUGUAUGAUUCCACAUAUUUUUUUAGGAUUUCUUUUUAAAAUUAAUUUCAAUCAAACAAAUACUAUAACAAAGACAAUAUUGUAAGCUUAACAUUUUCUUAUGAAUGCAAUACCAUUUAUAUCAAAUAUUACGGAAAGGAUAUUUCUUUAAAUUCAUUCAACGCAUACCUACUAUUUAUAUACAAUCAUAUUGGAGAGAUAUGCUCCAUAUAAUUUGCUACUUCAUAUGUUAUGUCUUUCUAUCAAGAAUUACACCAAAUUAUUGUCUUAUUUUUACCAUGUAUAUUAUACAUUGAUACACUUUCUAUAUACAUCUAUAUGAAAAAUAUAAUAAUUCCAAUACCCCCUCAAGUUGGUGAGUAAAUAUCAUGGACUCCCAACUUGUUUCGCAAAGUCACGAGGUCUCACAGGAUAUAACGUAUCCAUGCUAGCUCCACACAAGCAUUUGUCAUGACCCGAUAUUUUGCUUUUGGCAGAUGACCUUGACACAUUGGUUUGUUUCUUAGACUUUCAAGAUACUGAUGACUACUUUUACAGCAAAUGGAUCGUGUUGUCAAAAGUAAUAAUUUGUCUUCAAAAUCAUAUAAUUUGUAGCCUUUAAAUUAGGUAGAUAUCCAAUAAAGACGCCCCAUUGAGCACGGGGAUCAAAUUUGUGUUUGGGAUGAUUUACUAUUGCACAACAUAGGCUCUCAAAAAUACGUAAAUAUGUAACAGAUGAAACUUGGCUGUAUAAUAAUUGAAAGGGUGUUUUAUCUGACAAAAUGAGGGAAGGCAAGCGAUCAAUAAAAGGUAAAUUUUAUGCCUUUAAAUUUUAAUUUUAUCGAUAAACAUUAUAUUUAAAUUACAAGUUAAACUACGUAAUACAAUUAUAAUUGAUGGAUGAUUUUAUAAAAAAAAGGUUAACAACAUUGUCAAUGAAUUUCUAUAUUAUAAAUAUAUAAAAAUAAAAUCGCCUAGUUGUUAUAGGUGAUGCAAGAGUAAUAUCAAAAGUCAGUAUUCUUUAUGAAGAUAAUACUGUAAAUAAUUUAUUAAAAACAGUUUUGAAAUAAAUUAAUAAAUUAUAAAUGAAGAAUGCUGGUAUGAUCCAAAAUUAUCGCUAAUAGGAGUGGUGUAGGAUACUUAUUAAUGGAGUCUUGUCAUCUUCACUAUGCCAACGUUGCAUAAUAUAUAACCUAUGGUGAAGUUACAGUGUUAAGGUUUUAGGGAUUAAUCAAUGGAUCAUACUAAUAAUUAUGCUUAUAAGCAACAUCUGUUUGUACAAGGUUAAUGCACCCCUUAUAUUUAUCACACUUUUUUUUCACUAAAAAAAUAAUCAUUUAUAAAAGUGUAAUUGUUCAUAACAAAAUAAAAAAUACAUUAUAAGUAAUUGUCUUAUUUAUACACACAUUUGUAACUUGAUUAUUGACUUUAAAGUAUAAUCUUAAUUCAUAUUUUUCAAUACUAAAUCAAUAAUUAAGUAUUAGAAAAAUUAUAAAUUUAAGCGAAAGCGGGAAGAUGUGUAUUUGAUCUUUUACUAGUGAUAGUGUAAUUCAUAUAAUAGAUUGAGUCUGUCUUAAUUUAGUUAAAUUAUUACAAUUUUUUAUAUAUAACUAAGUGAUUAAAAUGUAUAGUAAAUAAGUAUACUAUAGUAUUUCAUAACCAAAUGAAAUUAUACUAUAACUGUUUUCGAAUCAAUAAAAAAAUUAAAAUUUAAUUGAGAAAUAGAAGUAAAAGAUGAUAUAUUAAAUGGUCAUGUACCCAAAAGCAAUCAAUUAAAAUUUCAUUGGUUGAGUGUAUUUAGAAGAGAGGGACAAAACCAACACUGAUUUGAAUUACUUAGCCAUUGUACAAUGAGCUUCGAAAAGCGAAUACAUUUAUUAUUUCUUGAUUUAUUCCAUCACAACAUAAAUGUAUUAAUAAAGAAGAAACAUAUAUAAGGGUGGAAAAAAGAGAUUGUGGAAAUUGUAUUGUACUAAAAAGAGAAGAGAAGUAGAAAGAUAGUAAAAAAAGGAAAAUCAAGGUAUCUCUAAACAACAGAGAACACCUGCAUGUUUUUCCAAGUCAAAUUGUGUGUAUGAAAAUAGAGUUUUAAUUUUAAACAUGGAGAGUGACUAAGCUAUUAUAGCAUGAUGACUUUUUCUGGCACUAUUAUCCAGACUUAGGGACUCAGAAACUUUGUCUAAACUGUCAUGAAGGUUGCAAAAAAAUAUGAUAAGAUGUUUAACUCGUAUACUCUGUAUCCAAAGAAGAAUUUAACGAGUUGAAGAAACUCAAACAAGUUAGGAGGUAAAUAUGGUUGCGUAUAAAAAAAGUUGACUUGGUAUCUUCCCAAUGUACUCAAAAUGAUAGGCAUUAUGAAAAACAAUCCACUAAAUAUUAUUGUUGUAAAGGAGUCCAAAGAGCAUCAUCAGCUCAGCAAAUCCCACAAUGCACACUCCAAACUUUCGAUUCUUAUCAAAAUUCAUGCCUUGACGUCAGAGGAGGGCGAUGGAGUGGGGAGCAUGAGGAUGGCAUGUCACAUCGAACUCACAGAAGUUGAAUUCACAAAUGAAGCGGUUGGAGGUUCCAAACGUUGGAAGGUUAUCGAGGCCGUAUGGAAUGGUGAGGUCCACUUUGAUGAGGUGCAUGCAGUCCAAGUUAGCUUUCAUCAAUGCAUAGUUAUUUUGUGGUUGUCAAAAUGUUGGAUGCGAUUGAAACACCACACCGAGGAACUUCGUGUCCAUAGUGAUGAAAGCAUAUAAGGCAAUGACAAAACGAAUCAACUCAAACUCUGAUUUAAGGUUGUAAGGCCACACUGAUCUUGUCAUCAAAGAACUACAAGGGAGGGCCAUAUUGCUAUUGUUGUUGCUUUCUCUUCCCAUCUCUCUUUCUCUACCCAUCAAGAACAACAAAAGAACCACACCAAUCCUUCUGACUAUAAUACUUUUAUACCCCAAAAUCACUACUUUUAUAGCAGCAUGACCCUCCCUUGUGGUUCUGUGAUGACGAGAUCAGUGCCGUCUUACAACCUUGAAUCAGAGUUCGAGUUGAUUUAUUUCAUAAUUGUCUUGUACCCUUUCAUCUCUAUGGACACAGAGUUCCCCGACGUUGUAUUUCAGUUGCGUCCAACAUUCUGAACACCAUAAAAUAACUACGUAGUGAUGAAAGCUAAUAUGAACUAUAUGCACUUCAUCCAAGUAGCCUCACAAUUUCAGACGACCAUGAAAACCUUCCAACCUUUGGAACCUCCAACCUCUUCAUUUGGGAAUUCUACUUCUGUGAGUUCGAUGUGACACGCCAUCCUCAUGUUUCUCACUCAAUCGCCCUACUCCGUCAAGGCAUGAAUUUUGACAAGAAUCGAAAGUUUGGAGUGAGCAUUGUGCGAUUUGCCGAGCUGAUGAUGUUCUCAGGACUCCUCUGCAACAAUAAUAUUCAGUGGAUUGCUUUUCAUAAUGCCUAUCAUUUUGAGUACAUUGUGAAGAUACUUGGUCACUUUUUUAUACGCAACCAUAUUUACCUCCCAACUUGUUUGACUUUCUUCAACUCGUUAAAUUCUUCUUUAGAUAUAGAGUAUACAACCAUUAAACAUCUCAUCAACUCCUGUCCCAACCUUCAUGGUUGUUUAAACAGAGUUUGAGUCCCUAGGUUUGGAUAAUAGUUCUAGAAAAAGCCAUCAUAUAGGCUCUGAUAGCUUAGUCAUUCUCCAUGUUUUUAAUAAAAUUGAAACUUUUUGUUUUCAUACAAGUUUGGCUUAAAAAACAAGUAGGUGUCCUUUAUGGCACAAAGAUGCGUUCAUCUUUAUAUUUUUGUUCUCUUCUCUUCCCCAUUCAAUACAAUACAAUUUUUUUGUAUAUAUAACUGCAUUUCAUCCUACCUAUCUCUCUUAUUUUUUUCCACCCUUAUGUUUCUUUUUUUUUGUUUCAUAUUUUUUUUUUAAAUUUUGUUUACAUUUUAUAUAAUAAUUAACAAAAUCAAACAAUUUAACAUUAGUGAAAUAGACCUAUGAUUCCAUAAAUUUAUUAGGAUUUUUAUUAAAAACUUAAUUUUAAUAAAACAAAUAAUAUAAUUCGGUUAAACAAAAUUUUCUUUAUCACUCCACACUAUAAUUAUUUUAGUUAAUUUUUCUUAUGUUUAAUCCUUUCAAUUUAUAAUCUUUUAUUUAUUUUUCUCAAUUAAAUUUUAAUUUUUUUAUUGAUUUGAAAAUAAUUAGAGUAAAAUUUAAUUUACUUAUGAAAAUACUAUAGAAUACUUAUUUAUUUGUAUAAAAAUCAAACAUUAUUUAUAUAUAAAAAAUUGUAAGAAUUAACUAAACUAAGACGAACUCGAUGUAUAAUAUGAAUUACGCGGUCAAUCCUAAAUGAUUAAACACAGAAAUUGUCUUUCCGCUUUCUUGUAUUUUAAGUUGUCUUGACUUUGACUCUUUUUUUACAAAUAAUUAUUUUUUUAUUCAACAAAAAGGAAUAUUACAAAUAUAACUAAGAUAUUUGGAGUGUCUUAACCCUUCUAGCAAGAGACAUUUUUAAUUAUUAGUCUGAUAUAUUGAUUAAUCCCAAAAGCUUAACCUCACUGGAGGUUAUACAUUAUGCAACAUUAGGAUAGUGAAAAUGACAUAACCCUUCCCCAUUUAGACUCCAUUAAUGAGUACCCUACACCUCUUACACCCAUUCCUAUGAGUAGUGACAUUUUGGAUCAUAUACUAAUUACCAUCAUUCUUCAAGAAGCAUUUCAGUUAUUAAUUAUAAAAAAUAAAUAAGAUUAGGGUCAAUCUAGAAAGCGCUAAUUUUAUUUAUUUUUAAUAUUUAUAUUUUUGUAUUGAUAAUAAAAAAUAUAAUAAAUUAGAGUACUAAAGGUACUCCAACUCAUAAAAAAAAACCACUAAACAUGGUAAAAAUAAAACCACAUUCUACUCCAAAACUCAACAACAAUGAGAAGAUCAAGCAAAUAAAAUUUCACACCAAAAUAUGUUGAUCAUUUCCCAAAAAGAUACGAGUCGCACAACAUUUUCCCAUAUCAUAUUUAUAUUUAUUUAAUUUAGUGUCGGCUAAGUCGACGCUAACUUAUACUAUGAAUUCGUAUGCCUUCGUGACAACGAAUAGGAAGCAUAGAUUAUUUUUAAUUUAAAGCUCCACAAUUUUCUUCUCUCACUUUCUAUAUAAAUCUCUUCACAUUCAUUUACUUCAUCCACCUUCAUUUCUAUAUCAACAUUCAAUUACUUCAUUUACUUCAUCUCUUUCAUUUACUACAUUUAUUUAAUUCAGUGUCGGUUAAGUCAACCCUAACUUGUACUAUGAUUUUGUGUGCCUUUGUGACAAUGAAUAAGAAGCAUAUAUUAUUUUUAAUUUAGAGGUCCACAAUUUUCUUCUCUCUCUAUAUAAAUCUCAUCACACUCAUUUACUUCAUCCGCAUUCAUUUCUAUAUCAACAUUCAUCUCCUUUAUUUACUACAUUUUUUUCUAUUUUUUUUUUAAUUUUAUUUUUAUAAAGAUGAGGCAUUUUAUGAGAAACUUGUUCUUUUAAAUUACUCUCAUUACAAUCAAUCAAAACAACACAAUUUAAAUUAAUAUUAAAAAUAUAUCUUAUUUAGCAUCCACUAAGUCGAUGCUAACUUAAAUAAAUUUUAAAAUAAGGUCGACGCUAAGUUAAAUAAAUUUUAAAAUGAUUAAAUAUAUUUUUCGUUUCAUUUCUUUCACAUGAAAUUGAUUUUCGUUUCUAAUCCAAACUUUAGACCUUUAGGGAAUUUGUAGUGCGGAAAUUAUUGGAAUGGGUCCUUGUCAAUUUUUUUUUACGUGGCAAACAUAUUUCCAAUGUGGACUGAGAUGUUAAAUAUUUCAUGUUGACUCAACGCUUACGUGAAUGUUAUAAUAUUAUAAUAUAGUCUAUGUUGACAAUUUGUUUAUUACAAAAAAACACUAGUAAGGAUCCAUUCCAAUAGUUUUUUUACUACAAGAAUCCAGAGGGUCUAAAGUUUGGAUUAGAGAUAAAAAUCAAUUUCAAAAAUGAAAAAUAUAUUUAACCCAUUUUAAAAUAAAAAAAAAAACAUUAGUGUUGGCCAAGCCAACGUUAAAUUACUUUAAUUAAAAAAAUUAAUUUUAAAAUCAAAUGUUAACGAACUAGUAUUAAUGGUUUUAGAGUCACAUGCGAUGCAAAUCUGACGUUAUUGACUAAUUAUCACGACACUUGGACUGUUAUGCUCUUCAGUAAAAGGAGUUGCAUCUUAAUUAUCAGUUAUAACUUUUCGUCUUGUAGAAAGCAAUCAAUCCAACAAUUGGUAUUAAAACCAAGGACACGAGUUCGAUUUGUACAUUGAAAACGGACAAAUAGGAGUUCAUUCUGUUUUAUGAUAAGCUAAAUUGAGGCCCCUCUUUUACUUUAUCGAGUUGAUACUUUAGAGUUGUCUUAAAGUUUCAAUAUGGCGUUGGUUAUAAAAGCCAUUAAAUGCAGUGUGUACAGAACAGAAAAAGAGAACUCUAUGUGCAAAAAAAUUUCAACUGGACAUAAUAGCAAGAAUAAUAUGAAUUGAUACCUCUAUGUGCAAAAAUUAACAGACAUACAUAGUUCUAAUCAUAAAACCUUGGGGACAAAGACUUGAGAAAUGAGAAAUUUAACUUACUUGCUUUCUCUGUGUUUUGGACAAGGGCGAGAAUACUUCAGAUAUCCAUCCCAAGGAGCCUUUUGAAGCCCAGCACACGAUGUGAGAUUAUGUCUCUCACCCUAUACCAUUGGAAUGAUAUAUAUUGUUUUAAUUCCUUGCAGCUAAACAUAGUGGUUCAUACAAUAUGGAACAAAGGUCUUUUACCUCUCUGCAAAUUCAAUGGAUGUCUCUCCUGGCUUCAAGUUUUGUGGCUCCAAGUACCAAACAUCACAAACUACAGCCCAAGAUGUCAUUAAUUGCAAGAGAUGAGUGGUGAAUGAUUGUCUGAAAGUGAAACAGAUACAGAAACUCUUAUCCAGCAAUACAAGAAAACAUGAAUGAAUAGAAACAGAAAUAAUUAUCAUGUAAAAAGCAACUUCUUACUGUCGACUAUUCCAAAAAGCAUCUACGAAAUGCAACUGGGCAAACUGUGCAGCCAAGUUCAAAUGCACCCUAAACAUCAUUAAUAUUAGAGGCUUCAAUUAUAUUUAGAAAGCCUAUUGUAUAAGUAAAAGUGUAAAACUCGGCAUUUUGCAAUUGCAAAUCCUAUACCUUCUUAAACAUGACAGUAUAGUGAUUAUUUACACAAGUUUCUUCAGGAAAUAUAAGAAGAGGGUUAUUGUUAGCUCCCUGGACGUGUUCCCUCAAUCUGAAAUAUGAGAAAUCGCUUAAGAAUAAGAUUUUAGAUAUACUCUCCCAACAUUUUCAAUUAUACUUACUUCCUUGCCACAAUUUCUCAUCCUUCGCCUCUGUACUAUUGAACCAGAUACACCCUACACUCUCUAAAAUAGUGCUCUGCAAUAAUCCUGUGAAUGAAAUUCAGAAAUGCAUCAGGCAUAACUUGUGAUGUGCUCAUCGAACUUGAAGGAAAGUUGAUGUGGAUGAAUAGAUAAUUUAGUAAAAAAUAUACAGUGUACUACCACAGAAAGAUGUUGUAGCAGCUAGCAUGAUUAAUUUGGUUGAGCGUGAGAAGAUCAUAGGACAACCUCGAGUUAAAGUUGAUAAAAUGGAAGAUAAUCUGAUUAUAAAUGAAUCCAUGUGCAUGUAGCUGAACCCGCAUGGGGCCCGUUUGUUUAGCCUUUUAAAAGAAAACGAUGUUUAAAAUGAAAAGAUCUUCCCUGUCAACUAGUAAUUUUCUCAACAAUUUCCACCUACAACUCUAAGGUCGGAGCUCUAACAAAUAGGAACUUAGGUCUAAGUCCUACAUUAUGGAAUAAGGAAUCCUCGGGUGGAUGCAUUUAAGCGCUUGAGUCUUCUUUCUUAGUAGCUAGCGUUUUGAGGGUGGAUUCCUCAAGUGUUUGGGGUACUUACCAAUUGGUUGUUGAUCUUUUCGAAAGGGCUGAUUUCUUCUUCCUCCUUAACCACUAGAGAGGAGGCCUAGACUCUCCCACAACAAUCUGACUUCCCUCUCAAAUCACAAGAUAAAAAUCUCCUUCCCAAUCCCUUUUCCUAUUUACAAGCCACAUGUCUUGUUUCUCCAAUUAUCUCAGCCCCCCACAACCAAACUCUAUUUAUUUCUACUAACUAACUAUGGGGGUUACCUAUCUCGGGCAGAAUUUUGGUUUAAUACUAGUUACGAAGAUGUCUCAUUUCCGAUCCUUGUAUGGGCAAGACCAUCGUCCUUUAUUGUUGAAAGCAAACUACAAUUCCUUCUAAAGUUAAGGAAGUCAAUCAGCAGCAAGACACCUUGGAGAUUAACCUCACCUCGCCAAAGAAA
rnacentral:lncRNA from 1 species